GUAGAAAAAUGAAGUUUCAGGAAAUCUGGCUUUUUAUAAUUUGGUUUAUGAUUAAAUUUGUUGAACAAGAGCUUCUAAGAUGAUGCUUGAUGGGAACUAGAGGGCUAGAGAUUUAAAUUGCGGACAAUAUGACCAGAUGUGACCGUAAUAUUGUGGUUGCGGUGACCGUUGCAACCACAUCACUCCGCCAUUACAGUGUGAUUCCGAAUUACAAUGAUGUGACCGCAUCAGGUCGC